ACAUUCCGAUGUAAAAGUCUAUUAUAAAGUUUGGCUUUUAAAAAAAAGUGUGUUACUAGGUUUUUUUUUGUUAUCGAACACAAGAGUUAGACGUCAUUGUCAACUUGAAGUCUGCAAUGUCAAUAACAUUGGCAAAACACCGUUAUCAGUUCGUCAACGCGAAUCAAUAACUUGUAAUAAAUACAAUUUUACUUUUAAAUACAUAAUGAUAGAGCACAAUCUUUUAAUAACAAUAAAUUUUUGGGCUCUUAAAGAAGAUAAUAUGCACAGAUUAUACACACACAAAUGGAUAAUAAAUGAGAAAAUCGCCAGAUCCCCACCAGCACGGCGGGUGGGGUGUGUGGGAGUUGAACCUCACUAAAAACUCCUGCCGCUCACAGCCGGCGCCCUAUCCCUGACCGGGCCAGAGCCCAGUUGGGCUAUUGAGACGGCGGGUUUACGCAUAGCAUAUUACAUCCAUCCCACAGUCCCCCAGACGCCGGACUGGCGGCCGCCGGUGAUACGAACGCCGCCGGUUCCCUCGGUUGACGGGCCCGGAGCCCACCUUGACGGGCCGCGAUGCUCUCUUAUGAUGAGAGUAGCGUGGAAGUCUCUUAUGAUGAGCACGAGAGUAUCUGGCACGCCCAUGUUAUACAGUUUGUAAAUUAAGCCGCUGUGACAGAUUUUGUCUAACGUCUUCGCGUUUGUGUAAUAGUCACUUGUUUAAUUUGCUUUUUUUUUGCUGUCAUUAUAUUAUUAUUAUCUCCGACGUUUCCAAUUAUUUACAGUUUUCGAUACUGAAAAAAAAAGUGAGAAUAAACCAUAAAAGUAGUUUUAAUAAUGUUAGCUAAAACUGUGUUUGACAGUAAUUAUUACAUAGCUAUUUCAAUAUAUUUGAAAAAGCCAAAA